GCCGAAAUGAAACGGUUUACAACCAAGAUAGUUAGCAUGAUGAAGGACGAGAAUCUUUAUGCGUCUCACGGUGGACCUAUAAUCUUAUCUCAGGAGGAUUUAGCUUGCACAUGUGUUGACUGUUGAGCAAUUGUCUUUGACAUAUACAAUUGCUUUUAGUGGCUGCUAGAAGAUGGUGAUCUAAAACCUUCAUUCCCACUAAGAAAAUGUUGGUCGGCGAACAUGCAUUGGUAUUGUGAUCUCAGGUUGCUCUCCCAUAUAAUGAAUCGAUAGUAGUUAAGAGUCAAUGGUUUGCCCAAAUGGCUGUGCUCGAUCCUACAUGGACGAACUUGGAUUAGUUGGUGAUUGUCCUAAUAACUAUCAGAGGAAUAUUGUCAACACAUAUGACAACAAAAGACAAAGGUCAAAAAGCUGAAAUGAACAGUUGCACACCAGGAAGCAGUGUUCAGUAGUAACAGCAGGCAAAUGUCAACUAUAAGGGACAAUAAGCAUUAAUGUCUUAUGAAAACCCUUGCACCAAAAAGUUUAGUACUCUCCAAACACAUAAUUCAUACUCAUAUGCUAAAAAAAACUUCUCAAAAACUGAAAACCCUUUGUACAAAAAAGUACAGUACUUUUCAACACAAGAAUUCAAACUCAUAUGCUCAAAAACAGGCUGCUCAAAAUAGAAUAGUUGUCUUAUAUCCUGCUCUCUAGAUAAUUUCGAAAAAAACAUUAAGGUACCACCCCUAUCUAAUCCAUGAAACCAUUUGGACAAUCACACUUAAUUCUAUUCUUCAUUCUCUCUUCUUUAACAAAUGUCUAAACUGGAUACCUCAUCUGCUUCUGCAAUGUCAAAAAAGGAUUGCUCAUCUGCUGCACCAUUGCCUUCAAUGAUACCUCCAUCCGAGAUUACUUUCUUGAAGGAUUUAAAAGUAGAGCCGGUUUAAAGAUGUUGUUAACAGAUAAAGAUGGCCAUGCUACAAAUAAGACCGCAAAUGUUGUAUACAAAGAAAUUUUUGGAAUUUUACCCAA